CCCUCAUUCCAUUUUUCAUUUUCACACAAAUGCAACCUUACACCCUUCUCUCUCCUCUCAUUCCCCUUUUCCCCAAAUCCUAAGGCGCUGCCUCAGUGUUCUCUCUCUCUCCUUAUACAAGCCUGGUAUGGCUAUUCGCGUGAAACAAUCAAUGUUUCAAACCCAAAUUUACGUUUGUCACCCCAAACACGACUUGUUCUAUCUGUUCCAAGCCUGUAUAUGGAUUUGUAAGUUUGUGUCCUCUAUGGCUGUAUUGGUUGGGAGAAUAAAGCAGUUUAGGAGGGGCCUGGUCUGAACCUUCCCCGGUGACCAGCCAUGCCGGAGGUUCAUGAAACCUCUUGAAACUUGUGCGACAUCAGGAAUGCGGAUGGCGAUGACUUUUCCUGCCCACCACCCAAGUCUUCUCCAAUAAAGUCUAAGGGUAUGUACAGCUAUGUAUGUGAUAAAAUCAGUAAAAUAUAAACUAGCCGGGUCUUUGUUUCUUUCCUUCUUCAUUGCAUGGCUAUUUGGGCUUGUUUAUAUAACCAAUCUGUUGGGCUGAGGCCCAAUAGGCAUUUCUUCACAUUUGGGGCGAGUCCGAGUAAAGAAAGGGAAACUAAUAUUAGAAGAAACGCAUGGAAGGCCCAACCAUGGGUGAAAAUGGCCAACUAGAGGCUUGGUACGCCCUUAACCCGCCCCAUCUCUUUAUUAUGAUGGUUAUAUUUUGAAUUCCAAGUUUGUUGUAUUCGGAUUUUCAAUACUUGUAAAGAAUUCAUAUUAUUGUUGGAAUCUUUUGGUUUGAA